GUUUCUUUGGCAGUGUCUUAGCUGGUUGUUGUGAGACGUUAUAGAAUAGCAAUCAGCAAAUAUACUGCCCUAGAAGU
rfam:Xenopus laevis strain J chromosome 7L, whole genome shotgun sequence.